rnacentral:rRNA from 1 species
UACGUAGGUGGCAAGCGUUGUCCGGAUUUACUGGGCGUAAAGAGCGCGCAGGCGGUCGUUCAAGUCGCGUGUGAAAGCCCCCGGCUCAACUGGGGAGGGUCACGCGAUACUGAUCGACUCGAAGGCAGGAGAGGGUAGUGGAAUUCCCGGUGUAGUGGUGAAAUGCGUAGAUAUCGGGAGGAACACCAGUGGCGAAGGCGACUACCUGGCCUGUUCUUGACGCUGAGGCGCGAAAGCUAAGGGAGCAAACGGG